rnacentral:rRNA from 1 species
CCUACGGGAGACAGCAGUGAGGAAUAUUGGUCAAUGGACGAGAGUCUGACCCAGCCAAGUAGCGUGAAGGAUGACUGCCCUCUGGGUUGUAAACUUCUUUUAUAUGGGAAUAAAAUGUUCCACGUGUGGUGUUUUGUAUGUACCAUAUUAAUAAGGAUCGGCUAACUCCGUGCCAGCAGCCGCGGUAAUACGGAGGAUCCGAGCGUUAUCCGGAUUUAUUGGGUUUAAAGGGAGCGCAGGUGGAUUGUUAAGUCAGUUGUGAAAGUUUGCGGCUCAACCGUAAAAUUGCAGUUGAAACUGGUAGUCUUGAGUACAGUAGAGGUGGGCGGAAUUCGUGGUGUAGCGGUGAAAGGCUUAGAUAUCACGAAGAACUCCGAUUGCGAAGGCAGUUGACUGGACUGCAACUGACAGUGAGGCUCGAAAGUGUGGGUAUCAAACAGGAUUAGAUACCCGAGUAGUC